GGCCUGGCAGGAUGGUCUAGCCGCAAGGUUAGUACUGUGUCAGUUGGGUCUUUCCUUCUGGGGAAUCAUUGUGCUCUUAACUGAGUGCGGUGGGGAACCAGGACUUUUACUUUGAAAAAAUUAGAGUGUUUAAAGCAGGCUUACGCUUGAAUACAUUAGCAUGGAAUAAUAGAAUAGGAC
rnacentral:rRNA from 1 species